AACGAACGCUGGCGGCAGGCUUAACACAUGCAAGUCGAACGAUGUAGCAAUACAUAGUGGCGCACGGGUGAGUAACGCGUGGGAAUAUACCUUAUAGUGGGGAAUAACGUUGGGAAACUAACGCUAAUACCGCAUACGCCCGAGAGGGGAAAGAUUUAUCGCUAUAAGAUUAGCCCGCGUGAGAUUAGGUAGUUGGUGGGGUAAUGGCCUACCAAGCCUACGAUCUCUAGCUGGUCUGAGAGGAUGAUCAGCCACACUGGAACUGAGACACGGUCCAGACUCCUACGGGAGGCAGCAGUGGGGAAUAUUGGGCAAUGGAGGAAACUCUGACCCAGCCAUGCCGCGUGAAUGAUGAAGGCCUUAGGGUUGUAAAGUUCUUUCGCCGAUGAAGAUAAUGACGGUAGUCGGAGAAGGAGCCCCGGCUAACUUCGUGCCAGCAGCCGCCGUAA
rnacentral:rRNA from 1 species